rnacentral:lncRNA from 1 species
CUGCUCCACAGGCUUCACUGUGCUGGAGGCCUCUGUGUCUGCUGUCUGUGUCCUGCAAGGACAAGAUCAGCUGGAUCCUUCACUCAGUAGGAGCCUGAGAUGGGCGAGCAGAGGAGUGAGGAGGCAUGAUUUUCCUCCAUUUCUCUGGGGUCCACCUCCAGGCUUGGCCCAGUGGAGAGCCUCCCUCAGGGCUGUUGACCAGGUGAGUGUGGGGAGCAGAGGAGGACAAGCCCUGCAUAAAGGUACACGGAGAAAGGAGCAGGGAGCGGGCCACCCGAUGGCCCCUACCUCGCCCUGUGUAGCACCUACCUGUGUGUGUCUUGAGGAUGGAGAGGCUGAAGAGGAGAUUUCUCCAUCACCCCCAGCACCCAGCACCUGCCUGCAGAGAAGCUGGGACCUACUUCUCCUACUGAAAGGUCUCCUCUCCUACAGCCCCAUCAGCUUCUAAGGUGAUUUUGCACUAGAUGGGACUUUCCGUACAAUGUUGAACAGAUAUGGAGAUAACAGCAUCCGGGUCUUGUUCCUGAUCUCAGAAGGCAAGCUUUCAACAUUGUCCCCAUUAAUAUGAUAUCUAUUUGCUGUUGGCUUUUUUGUAGAUAUGUAGAUUCUAUAGAAACUUUUGUAGAUUAAGGAAGUCCCUUUAGAUAGUUAGUUAUAAACAUGAAUGGAUGUUGAAUUUCAGCAUCAACUGAGAUAAUCAUUUGAUUUUUCUCUUUGGUUAUGAAUCAUACCAAUUUAUUUUCAAAUACCAAGCCAAACUUACAUUUCUCUUGCAGUCUGUAAAUGACAAUAUUUGUCUUUUAAAAACACACUUUUUAUUAAAGUGUAGCAUACAUAUGCAUAUAUAACAGCAGAUGCACAAAUCAUACAUGUAGAGUUUGAUGAAUUUUUAAAAUUUGAACACCUCGCUAAAAAACAGCUCUCAAAUAAAGUAAGAGAAGAUUACCCGCCCACAAAAACUCUAUACAUGCCUCUUUCCAAUCACUACCCCAGAGGUGAUCACUAUCCUGACAUCUAACACAAUGUAUUCAUUAUGACUGUGUGUGAAGUUUUUAUAAAUGGAAUUGUAUAGAAGGUGCCUGAGGUUUUCUGUUUAAAAUUUUGUUUAUUAGAUUCUCCAAUGUUGUUCCAUAAAGAAAUAGCUCUUACAUGCUCACUUCUGUAUAAUCUUUAUGUAUGUGAGUGUACCAAAGUUACCUGUCUAUUCUAUUGGUAAUAGAUAUUUUGGUCGUUUCUAACUUGGGGUUAUUACAAUGGUGCUGAAGCGAACAUAUGUAUUCUUUUCUGUUGGUCAUGUACUUAGGAAUGGAGUUUUACAGCAUAUGACUACGUUCUGCUUUAGAAAAUUCUGCUAGUUUUCCAAAGUUAAUUGUAGCAAUUCAUAUUCCCACCAAUGUAUAUGAGAGUUCUAGG